UACGGGGGGGGCAAGCGUUGUUCGGAAUUACUGGGCGUAAAGGGCUCGUAGGCGGCCAACUAAGUCAGACGUGAAAUCCCUCGGCUUAACCGGGGAACUGCGUCUGAUACUGGUUGGCUUGAAUCCGGGAGAGGGAUGUGGAAUUCCAGGUGUAGCGGUGAAAUUCGUAGAUAUCGGGAGGAACACCAGUGGCGAAGGCGGCGAUCUGGGAAGAUACUGACGCUGAGGUGCGAAAGCGUGGGGAGCAAACAGG
rnacentral:rRNA from 1 species